UUUAUUAUUACUCUCAUCUCUUUCUAUUACUACUUUAUCACCAUCGCCCUCUUCUCUCUCCCUCUGUUGCUUCGCCAGCCUCCACUCAUGUUCUCUGCGAGAUCCUUGCCUCCUCCAGCCCUUCCUCCGUCAAUCGCUCCCUUACGAAGCUAGUGUCUGCAUCUCCUCAUAGGAUGUGGAGGUCGUGCUCAAGAUCUCUUACUCCCAACCGGGUGCCACCUUCGCCCUAUUUCGAUAAUCCAAAAGUCGGCAUCUGAGAGAGGAGGCAAGGGAAAGAGUUCAUCCCUGCGGCGUGCGGAUGUCAUACCUUCUGCCGCAUCUCCACUCAGUUUGGGUGGUGCAUCAUGCAAUCUUGGAGGAGGGGUGCCUCAUCGUCAUCCACUUCUGACACGACUGGAUAAAACUUGCAUUUGUCUCUAGAUACUGAAGUGGGUUCUGAACUAACGGCAAACAUUCAGGUUAUGUCUCAUGACCCAUCGUACAAAUUUUCUGUUUCUUUUUGUUAUCUUCCUUUGGCAGUAGAAACCUAUGUUAUUAAAUUUUGCAAGGUUUUGAUAACUUUGAAGAGGAGCUCAAGAAAUUAGUAGCUAUGGGCUUUGAAAAGGCAAAGUCAAUGAUUUUGACAGAUACCUAGACCAUGGAUCGCCUAUGGACCAAACUAAUGCACUAGACUUACAAGAACCAGAAGUCAAUGAAAUGAUGUCAAUCUGCACUUUGUAUUGUGGCUAGCCAAACAUAUUCAAUAGGGUUUUAACUUACAUAUAUGAGUUAGUGUAAUGAGAUAUUUGUAAUCUGUUCUAUACAAUAACUAUCAGUUAAUGAGUAAUACCUUAUUUUCAUCA